rnacentral:rRNA from 1 species
UACGAAGGGGGCUAGACGUUGUUCGGAAUUACGUGGCGUAAAGCGCGCGCAGGCGGCUAUCCAAGUCAGUGGUGAAAGCCCGGAGCUCAACUCCGGAACUGCCAUUGAAACUGUUUAGCUUGAGGAUGAGAGAGGUGAGUGGAAUUCCCAGUGUAGAGGUGAAAUUCGUAGAUAUUGGGAAGAACACCGGUGGCGAAGGCGGCUCACUGGCUCAUUACUGACGCUCAGGCGCGAUAGCGUGGGAUCAAACAGG